UACCAGCUCUCCGAGUGGUGUGGAUGUUUAUUGGGCCUAAAGCAUCCGUAGCUGGCUGGACAAGUCCCCUGUUAAAUCCACCGAUUUAAUCGUUGGAGUGCGGGGGAUACUGUUCGGCUAGGGGACGGGAGAGGCAGACGGUAUUUUCGGGGUAGGGGUGAAAUCCUAUAAUCCCGGGAAGACCGACCAGUGGCGAAGGCUGUCUGCUAGAACGCGCCCGACGGUGAGGGAUGAAAGCUGGGGGAGCGAACCGGAUUAGAUACCCGGGUAGUCCCAGCUGUAAACGAUGCAGGCUAGGUGUUUGGGCGGCCACGUGCCGCUCUAGUGCCGCAGGGAAGCCGUUAAGCCUGCCGCCUGGGGAGUACGGCCGCAAGGCUGAAACUUAAAGGAAUUGGCGGGGGAGCACCACAAGGGGUGAAGCUUGCGGUUU
rnacentral:rRNA from 1 species